rnacentral:rRNA from 1 species
UACGUAGGUGACAAGCGUUGUCCGGAUUUACUGGGCGUAAAGAGCGCGCAGGCGGUCGAUCAAGUCGAGUGUGAAAGCCCCCGGCUCAACUGGGGAGGGUCAUUCGAUACUGAUCGACUCGAAGGCAGGAGAGGGUAGUGGAAUUCCCGGUGUAGUGGUGAAAUGCGCAGAUAUCGGGAGGAACACCAAUGGCGAAGGCAGCUCGCUGGGACGGUACUGACGCUGAGACGCGAAAGCGUGGGGAGCAAACAGG